rnacentral:lncRNA from 1 species
CUUGUGCUCAAUUAGCCACCCUCUCUCAUAUCUCUAUCUCUUUCUUUUUCUUAUGUAGUCUAAUACCAAGACCCAAGGAGAAUGGUGCUGCCUACUUCUAUAGUGGGAUUUGGUCUUUCCUCCCCUGUUAGUAUAAUCAAGUCAAUACAUCACCGGCAUUGCCAAGAUGUAAACUAUUCUAUAGGCAAGAGGUGUUAUUGCUUCAAGAUCCUCAAAUAGGAGCUUGGAUCAUCAUAAUUAUGAGAAAACCUGAAGCUUGAAUGUUGUUUUAAUUCUGUAUGAAAAAGUAAGAAGUAUGCAUAAAGCUUGCUUCAUUCCGAAAUGCAAUUGUUGGAUCCAGACAAGG